UUUUUUUUUUGUCUUUUUUUUUCCAGCUGAAAGGUCUAUAUUACUGAACCAAUGAACGGGUAUAGAAGCAUAGUAACCAAGAAAAUAAUUUCCUUAGUAAGACUUGUCUAUGGCCAGGCAGGAAGGACGUUUCCGUGCUGACAGGACAGGAACCUGUGAUCCCCACGCAGCUUAGAUAUGUGGGCCGGUUGGCGGCCAUCUUGCGACGUGCGACGCCUCCUCACAGGCCCAGCUCGGUUCUCCUCCAGCGCCUCCUCUUGAAGUUGUGCCUGAUUUUAUUACCAGUUUUCAUCCGAAUCCACUGGGGAGUGGGACGAUUCUGCUUUUGUUUCUCGGCCAGGAAUCGCUUGAUUCUGAAAAUCUUGUGGGAAGACACGGCGAGGAACAGGCAACGGCACACCACCAAGAUGGCGGCGAAAACGAGAGAGGAGGAAACAGGCGGAAAUUAUGAGCUUCAUGAGGGCAGGGGUCUUGCCUGCUUUGAAUAAAGUAGUGAAUCUACUGUAUAUCCAAAAUUUAUUCAUCCACCAUGCCUGAGACAUAGUUCUCCCUUCUCAACAGGAUCUUAAACUUCUGCAAGAUGAUACAGCGUUUCUUCCUUCUUCCCAAGGCUCUUCUGGAUCAUAUCUGAACUGAGUCUAAGAGGGCAGGCAAGGUCUCAGCACCCAGGCUCAACAUCCUGGAUUCCUACAUUCACAGCAGCUUGUGUAUUCAGAAGUUCAGCUUGAACCAAGAUCUGAAGAAUGAGGCAAAAAAGUGGCAGAAGAAGAUUCCAAGAAGGGGGCAUAGCAGGUGCAAAGACACUGAAGCUAAAGAAACACAUUGUCACUCCUCACUUAUCUAUUCAUUCCACGCUUGUAGGAUUCCCACUAGUCCAGGCACCAUGAUAGGUGCUGAGGUUACCAUGGCUGGUAUCUCCAAAGGACUAGUAGCCAAGAUCUAUAAAGAACUUAUCAAACUCAACACCCAAAACAACAAACAAUCCAGUCAUGAAAUGGGUAGAGGACAUGAAUAGACAUUUCCCCAAAAAAGAUAUGCAAAUGGCCAACAGACACGUGAAGAAAUUUUCAACGUCACUCAACAUCACGGAAAUACAAAUCAAAACCACAAUGAGAUGCCACCUCAUACCUGUCAGAAUGGUGAAAAUUAACAACACAGGAAAUGACAGAUGUUGAGGAUGCAGAGAAAGGGGAGCCCUCCUACGCUGUCGGUGGGAACACAAGCCCUCUGGAGAACAGUAUUGAGUCAUAAGAGCUGGGUUGGUCACUGCAAUGAGAAGGGUGCCCCAUGCACUAGGGGCAGAUGAGGUGUUGGCUGCAGUGAAGGUGAAGGACGUGCUGGUGCGGAGCUUGUGAACUUGUCUGAGGAAUAAGCGACAUCCACCAAAGUUGCUUGGGUCUCCAAGCAACAAAUCCUACCACCACUUAUGAAUAGUUCACGAGCAAGAGUUAGGAGAAGCAGCAAAAUGUCAAGGUUAAGUGAACAGACACUGAUUCUAUACUGUGUGAGAAUCCAGAGGAGGAGUGCAAGGCCCUAGAGGAUGGCAAAGCCUCACUAUGAAAAGAAUCUGGAUUGGUGAACAAAUUAACAAAACAGUUCUUUCCACCCUAAAGUGAGGAAAACAUAAACUUCUAUUGUGAGGGAGAGAGAGACAGACACCCAGCGGGCAGCCGGAAGCAGGUUCAGUCUCUCAACCCUGAGAUCAUGACCUGAGCUGAAAUCAAAAGCUGGAUGCUCAACUGACUGAGCCACCCAGGAGACCCAUGAGAUAACAUUUCUUGUUUCAUGUACUGUCCAUACAUUUCUUCUACUUACUUUAAAUUUUGAGCCUUUGGCUUUUUACAAAUUUUUCUUAAUUUAUAGGGGCUCUUUAAUAUUCAAAAAAUUAGUGUUAAUUAGUAACUACUUAGAGAGAUCGUGCUUUGUGACAAUGAGUUGCAAACAUAUUCAAUUGCUGAAGCACACAGUAGGUGUUCAGUAUAUGAACCUCACAUUUGCUCCUGAUUACUCUCUCUCUCCCCUCCAAUGAUUUCAAUAGGUUAUGGAGCUUGAACAUUAACUGUUGGGCCAAAGCUGACACCAGUCAGUGGUAGAGUCUGGAAAGAGAGUUUUCUGUUUGAUUCCUGUGCACUUCCUCAUAAUAAAUCGCCACCAGCAUCCUGUUUAUCAUAGAAUCUGAAGACUGGGAAUCCUUUGAGUCUGAACUGUCAUCUAAUAUAGGAAUCUCCCAUUGUUUGCAAACCAAAAAUCAGCAUGUUUGACCUAACCAAAGAUUUGGUUUUCCUUGGGGUGAUGUGUUGAACAGGGACACAAAAUCAAAUUAUAUUUCACUAUGAAUUUAACAAAUCACCUUUAGUUCAAAUUACAACAUGAAUCAGUAUGGCCCAAGAUAUCUUGGACAAAUGGUCCCUAUAAUUCAUGCACUGGGGAGAAGCACUGGGUAUGACAAGGAAAUCAAUACUAUUUUAACUUCUCUAUUUGGAAAUUCUCUCUUCCCCUGAGCGAGAAACUGCCUCUCCUUAACUUCCUCUCAUUAAUACUGGUGUCAUUCUUUGGAGUUAUGCAGAGAAACCUUAACACACUUCUGGCAAAACCCUUUAUGAAUCUGGGGACAGAGAUUAUAUUCCUUCCCAAAAUUCUGGUCCAGCAGUGACAGUCUUUCUAGUAAACUUUCCUAACAGUGAUUUGAAGAUUGGACACUGUCCUGGACAACACUUUGGACACUUUGUUUGUCAGAGACCCUAAUAAAA